rnacentral:lncRNA from 1 species
AUAGAAUCUCAACCCUGGUCCUAGGGGCUGCCCCAGGAGUCUAGAUCCAACCGCUUCACUUCCUCAGGAGGCUAGACCUGCCACUGGGGGGCUGUGGGGUGAACAUGGGGUUCAGGCUGGGUACCCCAUCCAGUGAGACCACGAAUCUGAGCAUGGCAACUGCCCCCUCAGCUCCUGCGAGGUGGAGACAUCACGCACUGGCUGGGUAUAAGCUCAGCGAUCUGGCGAGGGUGGAGGGAGGGAGGAAGAAGGGCCCACCCCCUGCUGGCUCCCCCUCCCCCUGGGACUCCCCCUCCCUUUCCAGGCGGGGAUAUAAGCCCCACAAGGAAAGCGCUGAGCAGAGGAGGUCUCAGCUUGACCUGCGGCAGUGCAGCCCUUGGGACUUCCCUCGCCUUCCACCUUCUGCUCGUCUGCUUCACAAGCUAUCGCUAUGGUGUUCGUGCGCAGGCCGUGGCCCGCCUUGACCACAGUGCUUCUGGCCCUGCUCGUCUGCCUGGGGGCGCUGGUCGACGCCUAUCCCAUCAAACCCGAGGCUCCCGGCGAAGACGCCUCCCCGGAGGAGCUGAACCGCUACUACGCCUCCCUGCGCCACUACCUCAACCU